UACGAAAGGGGGGCUAGCGUUGCUCGGAAUCACUGGGCGUAAAGCGCACGUAGGCGGAUUGCUAAGUCAGGGGUGAAAUCCUGGAGCUCAACUCCAGAACUGCCUUUGAUACUGGUGAUCUUGAGUCCGGGGAGAGGUGAGUGAACUGCGAGUGUAGAGGUGAAAUUCGUAGAUAUUCGCAAGAACACCAGUGGCGAAGGCGGCUCACUGGCCCGAUACUGACGCUGAGGCACGAAAGCGUGGGGAGCAAACAGG
rnacentral:rRNA from 1 species